GGGGCUAUAGCUCAGUUGGUAGAAUGUUUGCCUUGCAUGCACAAGGUCCUGUGUUUGAUCCUCAGCACCCCCC
rnacentral:tRNA from 1 species